rnacentral:tRNA from 1 species
GGGGCUUUAGCUCAGUGGUAGAGCACUUGCCUAGCAAGCACAAGGCCCUGGGUUCGAUCCUCAGCUCCG